GAUGAACGCUGGCGGCGUGCCUAAUACAUGCAAGUCGAGCGAACAGAUGAGGAGCUUGCUCCUCUUACGUUAGCGGCGGACGGGUGAGUAACACGUGGAUAACCUACCUAUAAGACUGGGAUAACGUCGGGAAACCGGAGCUAAUACCGGAUAAUAUAUUGAACCGCAUGGUUCAAUAGUGAAAGACGGUUUUGCUGUCACUUAUAGAUGGAUCCGCGCCGCAUUAGCUAGUUGGUAAGGUAACGGCUUACCAAGGCAACGAUGCGUAGCCGACCUGAGAGGGUGAUCGGCCACAGUGGAACUGAGACACGGUCCAGACCCCUACGGGAGGCAGAAGUAGGGAAUCUUACGCAAUGGGCGAAAGCCUGACGGAGCAACGCCGCGUGAGUGAUGAAGGUCUUCGGAUCGUAAAACUCUGUUAUUAGGGAAGACCAAAUGUGUAAGUAACUAUGCACGUCUUGACGGUACCUAAUCAGAAAGCCACGGCUAACUACGUG
rnacentral:rRNA from 1 species